ensembl:lncRNA
CCAUGGUCACAACAGUACUAAUGCAUCCAGAAAAGCUGCCUGUCAAGGGAGACAAGCAAGGUAUAAUGCUAGUGGUACAAAAAGUGAGCAGCUGUGGUCACUCAGUUAUGGCUGUAUGGACAUCAAGGAAUGGACUCAUGGGGAGCUGAUGGUGUCCUUGCUCUCAAUCUGCUGGAGGAGAAGCUGCCAUGCACACUUCAGCACCUGGAAAACAUCAACAUCUGGACAAAGAACAGCCAGGCAGAGCCUGGCAGGAUGGAGGAAGUCUGCGGGGGAAUUUCUGUCUUGAAAAACUCAUCUUCAGAACAGAAUGUACCCAUUCAUCUAUGGUAUCUGGCUUCAUAUCACCAAGGGUGCUUAAUUUGAACUGUUGCGUGGUACAAAUCUUGAAUAUGGAUGAAAAUAACGUUUACAGGAGGAAGACCCCAGCUGUUGAAUGCCUUAUCAGAGAAUAUCAGAUAAGGGGUGAGUGGUUGUCUUCAGAUCGGAGGUACAUUGCCCAUCUCUUUGAGACAUACCUAUGCAAUGAUACCUUCCAGCAACCUUUCAUUUUAGUAUUAUGCAUAGUCUUCCAGUGAUUUUGUAAUAUUUAUGGUAUGACAUGGGUUCCCAAGCACACUAAACUGUGUCUAAGGCAUUUUUCAGUCUAAACAUCAUUACCUGUCAUCAUUUCCUGAUGUGCUUAGUCUCUUUUUAGGGCUAGUAAUAAGAUGGAUUCCUCUCUAUCAUUUAUGUAUUUGUGCAGUAAAUAGUUUUGGAGUCAUAUGUCAUUGUACAUCUCUGUGCUGAAACAUAUGUGAACUCUCAAGGACUAAAUUUCAUCUCAACAUCGUGUAUAGCAGGGGGGUAUCAGCCUUGUACUGUAUAAGGAAGUUUGUUUAUUGACUAGCUUGGUGCUUCAUUCCUUAAGCACAUAGUAUAAAAGAGACUAAUACUGUGGCUGAUUGCAUUUCAUUGGUGUACUCCUAUAAGCUGAUGUCUUAAUUACAUUACUUGUCAAGAUAAAGGGUUGCAGACCCAAAAGCAAAGAUACACUGAACAGGACCUCUGGUGACUUGGGGAUUUGUUAUGGGAGGCUUAUCCCAGAAAAAGGUCCCUCUUAUGCCUUUCUAAAGAAAGGCAAUGAUCAGAGGCCAUGGAUCACCUAAGAAUUUAGCUGGCAGCUCUGACAGCUGUGAAAUUGUCCUAUCAGCAGUGUCAUUGAAGUGAGUACUGCACAGAUCCUGAAACAGAGCUAAAUGACGAAGUAUCUCUUAUUGGACUUGACUUCCUCCUAACUGUUCCUGAGCUAAGUAACUUCUUUCCUAGUGGUGCAUAAUGCUGGAAUGAACUUUGUACUUUUUCCUUAAAUCUGGUCUGGUAAGAUAGCACUGGGAAACUGCUGUGUGGAGGAUUAGUGAACAUAAGGAGUGUGUGUUCCUUUACUGGCUAUGCUGCACCUGCUUCAGGCUUAAGAACCCUUGGUGUUCUGCAGGACUGUCCUUCGCUAAAUUACAAGAAGCCAGACUUGACAUGGUUGGGAAGAGAAGUCUCUGUUGGUAAGCAGUAUCCAGAGCUUGUUGGCAAGAAAUAGGAAUC